GUCUACGGCCAUGCCACCCUGAACAAGCCCAAUCCCAUUUGAUCUUGGAAGCUAAGCAGGGUCGAGUCUGGUUAGUACUUGGAUAAGAGACCACCUAGGAAGUCUGGUCUCUUGGAUA
rnacentral:rRNA from 1 species